GUUCAAAGGGGCGGAGCUAACUCCACCUGAUCAGGUGAGAAUGAAGAACAGCUGCUCCUGAGGAUUUCAGUCCAACCUUUUCUUUCAGGUUCUGGUCGGGUUCUGGAGCUCUGAAGGCUGAAAACUCUCAGUUUCUGAAAGUUGAUCGAAGCAGAAAAACCCAAAUAUUUCUGUCUGAACUGAAAGAUCAGGAGGAACCGGCUUCACUUUGUUCAGAGGAUGAGACGUUACGUGGAGGCAGCGGCGCCCUCUGGAGAGAGAAUGUGGAAGGACCUCAAGGGGAGGGGCUUCUGCUCUGGGAGCUCCCUCAGGUACAAGAAUCUUUAUCAACGAGGAUUUCUCCGAUGAAGCAGAAGAACGUCGUCCACCACUGAGCAAAGAGGGAAAAGGGAAACAUUGUAUCCCUGAUGCAGAACCAUCAUCUAACGACCGGAUCAGUCGGAUCCCUCUUGACAUUUACAGGCAUGUUAUGUUCCUUAACUAUCAGUUUCUCAAUGGCCGACUGUAAAUGAUGAUGAUUCAAUAACUGUGAAGGACAAAACGGACAAAUCAUUGAUCGAUUUCAUUGAUCCAGAAGAAUUUGUCUUUAGAAGAUUACAGAUGAUACAUGUAAAUACUACAAUGAAGAAGCCUUUAACACUGUUAAAAAAUCAAUUAACAAGAGAAAAAAGAUUUUGUUCUAGUUUUCACCUAAAUAUACGAAGAUUAACACAAAAUUAUGAUUUUGCAUUACUGAUCCACACUGGAACAGCGUUUUUCUGUACUUCCUUUAUCUGAAACAUA